CGGGUCUGCUCUCUGGUUUUCUCCCACUUGUGCUCUUGUGCGGGUUUGCUCUCUGGUUUUCUCCCGCUUGUGCUCUUGUGCGGGUUUGCUCUCUGGCUUUCUCCCGCUUGUGCUCUUGUGCGGGUUGCUUCCUGGUUUUCUCCCAUUGGUGUUCUGUUGGUGGUCUACCUGUCUUCUUCCUUCUCGGUUUCACGGAUGCCCUGUGCUGCUUUGGUUGGUAAGGAGGUAUUCAUCUUGAUUUUUUGCCGAGGAUUGAGAAAGGUAUC
rnacentral:lncRNA from 1 species